rnacentral:misc_RNA from 2 species
GAAAUGCGAUAAGUAAUGUGAAUUGCAGAAUUCCGUGAAUCAUCGAAUCUUUGAACGCACAUUGCGCCCCCUGGUAUUCCGGGGGGCAUGCCUGUCCGAGCGUCAUUGCAACCCCUCAAGCACGGCUUGUGUGUUGGGCCAGCGUCCCCUGGACGGGCCCGAAAGGCAGUGGCGGUAUCGUGCUCCGGUGCCCGAGCGUAUGGGGCUUUGUCACCCGCUCCGGAGGCCCGGCCGGUACUUUUAGCCGAAGCUCACCUAGAAGAAAUCUUCUUUUUUCGUGGUUGACCUCGGAUCAGGUAGGGAUACCCGCUGAACUUAA